rnacentral:lncRNA from 1 species
AAAAAGAGCAUAUUGUUAGAAACUUAGCAAUAUUGCCGUGCAGGCCAACUUCGUUUGCCGAGUGGGCUGUCAAAUAGGAUCAAAACUAGCAGCCAUUACGAGAGACAAAGGGUCAUAUAACUGCUAGACUUAUGACUCCAAAAUCGUUGGCGAAAACCAGAAGGUCAUGGGCAAUUUUGGGAUCACUUUAUAUUCAUGAGACAUUUACGAGAGCUCUUUAUUAUAUGAUAGUGGGUGAAUGUAGGUUUAGUGGUGAGUUAGUGUGAACUAGAUUCAACAUAUGAGCUAGAUUCAAUGUAUUCAAUGUAUUGUAAUCCUUAGUUUUUU